rnacentral:rRNA from 1 species
CACGUAGGGGACGAGCGUUGUCCGGAUUCAUUGGGCGUAAAGCGCGCGUAGGCGGCUCGGAAAGUCGGUCGUGAAAUGCCGGGGCUCAACCCCGGGACUGCGUCCGAUACUCCCGAGCUGGAGGCAGGUAGGGGAGAUCGGAAUUCCUGGUGUAGCGGUGAAAUGCGCAGAUAUCAGGAGGAACACCGGUGGCGAAGGCGCCGCUCUGGGCCGUGACUGACGCUGAAGAGCGAAAGCGUGGGUAGCAAACAGG